rnacentral:rRNA from 1 species
CUGUCGGCGUGCUUAACACAUGCAAGUCGAACGGAAAGGCCCUGCUUUUGUGGGGUGCUCGAGUGGCGAACGGGUGAGUAAUACGUGAGUAACCUGCCCUUGACUUUGGGAUAACUUCAGGAAACUGGGGCUAAUACCGGAUAGGAGCUCCUGCUGCAUGGUGGGGGUUGGAAAGCUUCGGCGGUUGGGGAUGGACUCGCGGCUUAUCAGCUUGUUGGUGGGGUAGUGGCUUACCAAGGCUUUGACGGGUAGCCGGCCUGAGAGGGUGACCGGCCACAUUGGGACUGAGAUACGGCCCAGACUCCUACGGGAGGCAGCAGUGGGGAAUAUUGCACAAUGGGCGGAAGCCUGAUGCAGCAACGCCGCGUGCGGGAUGACGGCCUUCGGGUUGUAAACCGCUUUCGCCUGUGACGAAGCGUGAGUGACGGUAAUGGGUAAAGAAGCACCGGCUAACUACGUGCCAGCAGCCGCGGUGAUACGUAGGGUGCGAGCGUUGUCCGGAUUUAUUGGGCGUAAAGGGCUCGUAGGUGGUUGAUCGCGUCGGAAGUGUAAUCUUGGGGCUUAACCCUGAGCGUGCUUUCGAUACGGGUUGACUUGAGGAAGGUAGGGGAGAAUGGAAUCCCUGGUGGAGCGGUGGAAUGCGCAGAUAUCAGGAGGAACACCAGUGGCGAAGGCGGUUCUCUGGGCCUUUCCUGACGCUGAGGAGCGAAAGCGUGGGGAGCGAACAGGCUUAGAUACCCUGGUAGUCCACGCUGUAAACGGUGGGUACUAGGUGUGGGGUCCAUUCCACGGGUUCCGUGCCGUAGCUAACGCUUUAAGUACCCCGCCUGGGGAGUACGGCCGCAAGGCUAAAACUCAAAGGAAUUGACGGGGCCCCGCACAAGCGGCGGAGCAUGCGGAUUAAUUCGAUGCAACGCGUAGAACCUUACCUGGGUUUGACAUGGAUCGGGAGUGCUCAGAGAUGGGUGUGCCUCUUUUGGGGUCGGUUCACAGGUGGUGCAUGGCUGUCGUCAGCUCGUGUCGUGAGAUGUUGGGUUAAGUCCCGCAACGAGCGCAACCCUUGUUCACUGUUGCCAGCACGUUAUGGUGGGGACUCAGUGGAGACCGCCGGGGUCAACUCGGAGGAAGGUGGGGAUGACGUCAAGUCAUCAUGCCCCUUAUGUCCAGGGCUUCACGCAUGCUACAAUGGCUGGUACAGAGAGUGGCGAGCCUGUGAGGGUGAGCGAAUCUCGGAAAGCCGGUCUCAGUUCGGAUUGGGGUCUGCAACUCGACCUCAUGAAGUCGGAGUCGCUAGUAAUCGCAGAUCAGCAACGCUGCGGUGAAUACGUUCCCGGGGCUUGUACACACCGCCCGUCAAGUCAUGAAAGUUGGUAACACCCGAAGCCGGUGGCCUAACCGUUGUGGGGGAGCCGUCGAAGGUGGGACUGGUGAUU